rnacentral:rRNA from 1 species
AUUGAACGCUGGCGGCAGGCCUAACACAUGCAAGUCGAGCGGAUGAAGGGAGCUUGCUCCUGGAUUCAGCGGCGGACGGGUGAGUAAUGCCUAGGAAUCUGCCUGGUAGUGGGGGAUAACGUCCGGAAACGGGCGCUAAUACCGCAUACGUCCUGAGGGAGAAAGUGGGGGAUCUUCGGACCUCACGCUAUCAGAUGAGCCUAGGUCGGAUUAGCUAGUUGGUGGGGUAAAGGCCUACCAAGGCGACGAUCCGUAACUGGUCUGAGAGGAUGAUCAGUCACACUGGAACUGAGACACGGUCCAGACUCCUAAGGGAGGCAGCAGUGGGGAAUAUUGGACAAUGGGCGAAAGCAUGAUCCAGCCAGGCCGCGUGUGUGAAGAAGGUCUUCGGAUUGUAAAGAACUUUAAGGUGGGAGGAAGGGCAGUAAGUUAAUACCUUGCUGUUUUGACGUUACCAACAGAAUAAGCACCGGCUAACUACGUG